GAGACAAAGGAAACACAGAGACAUAGACAUGGAUCUGGGAAAUACACCUUUUGCUACUCGUUCAGUUUUAGCAAGGAGGUUUCUUGCAUGGCUAAGCAAAACUUAAACUUCCUCUGAGAAUUACAGGAAUUACAGGACCUGACAAAGCUAUGAAGAUUAAAACCUAUAGGAAGAAAAUCUGAACCAGAAACAGUAUGGCAGAAUUGGGAUCUGACUCACAGAGGGAAGAACUUAUAAUUCUUCACAGGUCACAUAGAAGCAUGAGAAUUUGGGUUCAAGCAAGAGAAACAUUUUGCACUGUGCUGGGGGAUUCUACCCACAUAAGUCAGCAUGUUACUUGCUAGAUAAAAGAGCAAUGAAUGGAGUACUUCAUUUUAAAUGCCGCAACUCAGCAAGAAAAAAAAAGUGUCUGGUAUCUUCCUGAACAACUACCUGGUAUUAUACAGGUGAGAUAAAUUGUGAUGCCACCAAAUGUCCUAUAUAUAAACGUAUGGACAUAUAUUCUUUUCUGAAAACUGUAUUUAUACUGCAUAAUUUCUAUCUUAUAUUUUCAUGAAUGGUGCCUGUUCAUUUCCUUAUAUCAUUAAAUACACUUCAAGAAAACGUCAUUUCCAGUGGACUCCCAACAAGAGCAUAAACUUUUGAUGUCAGAAAAACAGCGCAGACAUGAUCUGGACUCUGGGAUAUGUAAGAUGACCCUCGUCUUAGGAGGCCACAUGGACUGUAUCACGUACACAGUAUAUGAGGAAGCUGAGCUUUCCCUAGGGAAACAAGAAAAAGAGUGGAAACUUAACAUUGUCCUAUUUUUGUGCUUUACAUUUAUUAUCCUACUUAGUGCUUCCCCAAAACUUAGAAACUGUUAUUAUCUCAUUUUACAUAGGAGGAAACUGUGACUUAGAGAGAUGAAGAUACCUUAUAUAUAGAUCUUGGAUUUGGGACCAGAACUGCCCUAGUCUAGACCUUAGUUCUUUCUAUUUCACCAUUCUGCUUCUCUGAGAGGUAAACGACAUCUUAAAAUCAAGUCAGAUAAAAUGCUUUAUACAACUACAUGAAGAAAAAAUUUAAAUUUUAUGAGUGGAAUAGGACAUUUGGUUACUCGGAAUCAGGGAGAUAAUGCAAUGUUCUUAUGCUUCAUGUUUAAUUCCCUGAAGCUUAAAAGGGGAAUCUUGAGGACAAGUAGGGCAGUCUCUCUUUCCUUAGGUCGGGAAUCAGGGAGAAAUGAAAAAGGAUAGAGUGGGUGUGGAGAUAAUGGUAGCUCAGUCUAGGAGAAAUGGAGCCCGCUCAUCUCUACAUGAACUAAAUACUGGCAGAGAUUGAGAAUUUUUGUAUAUCCUGCAUCACUUUUAAAAAGUAGAUCACUUCUAACAAUAUAGGAUUGAAGACAAUAAGAGAGGCCUAGGGGUCUUUUAAUCUAUAUUAGCUAAAUGUCUUUGAUAACAUUUAAUAAACUUGGCAAUGAA
ensembl:lncRNA LINC00844 long intergenic non-protein coding RNA 844